rnacentral:rRNA from 1 species
UACGUAGGGGGCAAGCGUUGUCCGGAAUCAUUGGGCGUAAAGAGCGUGUAGGCGGCUCGAUAAGUCUGCUGUGAAAGUCCAGGGCUCAACCCUGGAAGGCCGGUGGAAACUGUCGGGCUAGAGUCCGGAAGAGGCGAGUGGAAUUCCCGGUGUAGCGGUGAAAUGCGCAGAUAGUCGGGAGGAACACCAAUGGCGAAGGCAGCUCGCUGGGACGGUACUGACGCUGAGACGCGAAAGCGUGGGUAGCAAACAGG